CACUGAGAAGCUUUUUACAGCAUCAGCCUUUUAAGUUGAAGAAGAAAUUUACUUUCCUUAGUGA
rnacentral:tRNA from 1 species